rnacentral:rRNA from 1 species
AGCGAACGCUGGCGGCAGGCUUAACACAUGCAAGUCGAGCGGGCAUAGCAAUAUGUCAGCGGCAGACGGGUGAGUAACGCGUGGGAACGUACCUUUUGGUUCGGAACAACACAGGGAAACUUGUGCUAAUACCGGAUAAGCCCUUACGGGGAAAGAUUUAUCGCCGAAAGAUCGGCCCGCGUCUGAUUAGCUAGUUGGUGAGGCAAUGGCUCACCAAGGCGACGAUCAGUAGCUGGUCUGAGAGGAUGAUCAGCCACAUUGGGACUGAGACACGGCCCAAACUCCUACGGGAGGCAGCAGUGGGGAAUAUUGGACAAUGGGCGCAAGCCUGAUCCAGCCAUGCCGCGUGAGUGAUGAAGGCCCUAGGGUUGUAAAGCUCUUUUGUGCGGGAAGGUAAUGACGGUACCGCAAGAAUAAGCCCCGGCUAACUUCGUGCCAGCAGCCGCGGUAAUACGAAGGGGGCUAGCGUUGCUCGGAAUCACUGGGCGUAAAGGGUGCGUAGGCGGGUCUUUAAGUCAGGGGUGAAAUCCUGGAGCUCAACUCCAGAACUGCCUUUGAUACUGAAGAUCUUGAGUUCGGGAGAGGUGAGUGGAACUGCGAGUGUAGAGGUGAAAUUCGUAGAUAUUCGCAAGAACACCAGUGGCGAAGGCGGCUCACUGGCCCGAUACUGACGCUGAGGCACGAAAGCGUGGGGAGCAAACAGG